rnacentral:rRNA from 1 species
GACGAACGCUGGCGGCGUGCCUAAUACAUGCAAGUCGAGCGGACCGAACAGGAGCUUGCUCUUGUUCGGUUAGCGGCGGACGGGUGAGUAACACGUGGGUAACCUGCCCGUAAGACCGGGAUAACUCCGGGAAACCGGAGCUAAUACCGGAUAACACCGAAGACCGCAUGGUCUUUGGUUGAAAGGCGGCUUCGGCUGCCACUUACGGAUGGGCCCGCGGCGCAUUAGCUAGUUGGUGAGGUAACGGCUCACCAAGGCGACGAUGCGUAGCCGGCCUGAGAGGGGGACCGGCCACACUGGGACUGAGACACGGCCCAGACUCCUACGGGAGGCAGCAGUAGGGAAUCUUCCGCAAUGGACGAAAGUCUGACGGAGCGACGCCGCGUGAGCGAAGAAGGUCUUCGGAUCGUAAAGCUCUGUUGUUAGGGAAGAAGAAGCGUCGUUCGAACAGGGCGGCGCGGUGACGGUACCUAACGAGAAAGCCCCGGCUAACUACGUG